rnacentral:rRNA from 1 species
GACGAACGCUGGCGGCGUGCCUAAUACAUGCAAGUCGAACGCAUUUUCUUUCACCGUAGCUUGCUACACCGAAAGAAAAUGAGUGGCGAACGGGUGAGUAACACGUGGGUAACCUGCCCAUCAGCGGGGGAUAACACUCGGAAACAGGUGCUAAUACCGCAUAAUUCCAUUUACUGCAUGGUAGAUGGAUGAAAGGCGCUUUUGCGUCACUGAUGGAUGGACCCGCGGUGCAUUAGCUAGUUGGUGGGGUAACGGCCUACCAAGGCUGCGAUGCAUAGCCGACCUGAGAGGGUGAUCGGCCACACUGGGACUGAGACACGGCCCAGACUCCUACGGGAGGCAGCAGUAGGGAAUCUUCGGCAAUGGACGCAAGUCUGACCGAGCAACGCCGCGUGAGUGAAGAAGGGUUUCGGAUCGUAAAACUCUGUUGUUAGAAAAGAACAAGGAUGAGAGUGGAAAGUUCAUCCCUUGACGGUAGCUAACCAGAAAGCCACGGCUAACUACGUG